AUGCCUGUACCAUAACCGACACAGGUGGGUAAGUAGAGUAUACUAAGGGGCGCGAGAUAACUCUCUCUAAGGAACUCGGCAAAAUAACUCCGUAACUUCGGGAGAAGGAGUGCCUUAUUCUUAAGGUUGCAAUAACAAGAUCCAAGCAACUGUUUAUCAAAAACACAGGUCUCCGCUAAGUCGUAAGACGAUGUAUGGGGGCUGACGCCUGCCCAGUGCCAGAAGGUUAAAGAAGUCGGUUAGCAAUAGCAAAGCUGGUAACUGAAGCCCUGGUGAACGGCGGCCGUAACUAUAACGGUCCUAAGGUAGCGAAAUUCCUUGUCGGGUAAGUUCCGACCCGCACGAAAGGCGUAAUGAUUUGGAUGCUGUCUCGGAGAGGGGCUCGGUGAAAUAGACUUGUCUGUGAAGAUGCGGACUACCUGCACCAGGACAGAAAGACCCUAUGAAGCUUUACUGUAACUUGAAAUUGAAAUUGGACUUUAUUCGCGCAGUAUAGGUGGUAGGCGUUGAUUAUAAUCUUGUGGGAUUAUUGGAGCCAUCAGUGAGAUACCACUCUUGUAAUGUUAGAUUUCUAACCUUGAAUCAUUAUCUGGUCAAAGGACAGUUUCAGGCGGCAGUUUGACUGGGGCGGUCGCCUCCUAAACGGUAACGGAGGCGUACAAAGGUUUCCUCUGAACGGUUAGAAAUCGUAUCUAGAGUGUAAAGGCAUAAGGAAGCUUGACUGUGAGACCUACAAGUCGAGCAGGGACGAAAGUCGGUCUUAGUGAUCUGACGGUACUGAGUGGAAAGGCCGUCACUCAACGGAUAAAAGUUACUCUAGGAUAACAGGCUGAUCUCCCCCAAGAGUUCACAUCGACGGGGAGGUUUGGCACCUCGAUGUCGGCUCAUCGCAUCCUGGGGCGGUAGUACGUCCCAAGGGUUGGGCUGUUCGCCCAUGAAAGCGGUACGCGAGCUGGGUUCAGAACGUCGUGAGACAGUUCGGUCCAUAUCCGGUGUAGGCGCUAGAAUAUUGAGAGGAGCCUUCUUUAGUACGAGAGGACCGAGAAGGACAUACCUCUGGUGUACCAGUUAUCGUGCCAACGGUAAACGCUGGGUAGCUAUGUAUGGAGUGGAUAACCGCUGAAAGCAUCUAAGUGGGAAGCCCACCUCAAGAUAAGUAUUCUCAUCACGUAAGUGAGUAAGGUCACGGUAAGACUAACCGUUUGAUAGGCAUUAAGUGUAAGUACAGUAAUGUAUGUGCUGAGAUGUCCUAAUAGACCGAGGACUC
rnacentral:rRNA from 1 species